GAUGAACGCUAGCGAUAGGCUUAACACAUGCAAGUCGAGGGGUAACAUGGGAGUAGCUUGCUGCUUCUGAUGACGACCGGCGGAUGGGUGAGUAACGCGUAUGCAACUUGCCUCUUAGUGGGGAAUAACCCGGAGAAAUCCGGACUAAUACCGCAUACACUUAGUUAUCCGCAUGGAUGAUUAAGGAAAGAUUUAUUGCUAAGAGAUAGGCAUGCGUUCCAUUAGUUAGUUGGUGAGGUAACGGCUCACCAAGGCAUCGAUGGAUAGGGGAACUGAGAGGUUUAUCCCCCACAUUGGUACUGAGACACGGACCAA
rnacentral:rRNA from 1 species